CGAUCUGCUGUGGGCAGAUAUAGUGAAUGUGGCUGUCAAACCCGCCAGCGGUCAGGACAUGGCCUUCACCGGCGAUGGCCUCGGUUCCCGGCCCAAUGAUGAUAUCCACAUCCGGUUGCGUGUCCGGAUUGCCGGCCUUGCCGAUGCCGGCAAUCACGCCGUCUUUCAGGCCGAUAUCAGCCUUGAAGAUGCCGCUGACAUCGACGACAAGCGCGUUGGUGAUGACCGUAUCAACGGCCCCUUCGGCACGGGGUGUCUGCGACUGGCCCAUACCAUCGCG
rnacentral:sRNA from 1 species